rnacentral:rRNA from 1 species
GAUGAACGCUGGCGGCGUGCCUAAUACAUGCAAGUCGAGCGAACAGACGAGGAGCUUGCUCCUCUGACGUUAGCGGCGGACGGGUGAGUAACACGUGGAUAACCUACCUAUAAGACUGGGAUAACUUCGGGAAACGGGAGCUAAUACCGGAUAAUAUAUUGAACCGCAUGGUUCAAUAGUGAAAGACGGUUUUGCUGUCACUUAUAGAUGGAUCCGCGCCGCAUUAGCUAGUUGGUAAGGUAACGGCUUACCAAGGCAACGAUGCGUAGCCGACCUGAGAGGGUGUGCGGCCACACUGGAACUGAGACACGGUCCAGACUCCUACGGGAGGCAGCAGUAGGGAAUCUUCCGCAAUGGGCGAAAGCCUGACGGAGCAACGCCGCGUUAGUGCUGAAGCUCUUCGGAUCGUAAAACUCUGUUAUUAGUGAAGAACAAAUGUGUAAGUAACUAUGCACGUCUUGACGGUACCUAAUCAGAAAGCCACGGCUAACUACGUG